GGGAUGCCCCAGUAACGGCGAGUGAAGCGGCAACAGCUCAAAUUUGAAAUCUGGCCCCUAGGGUCCGAGUUGUAAUUUGCAGAGGAUGAUUUUGGCGAGGUGCCUUCCGAGUUCCCUGGAACGGGACGCCACAGAGGGUGAGAGCCCCGUCUGGUUGGACGCCGAGCCUAUGUAAAUCUCCUUCGACGAGUCGAGUAGUUUGGGAAUGCUGCUCUAAAUGGGAGGUAUAUGUCUUCUAAAGCUAAAUAUUGGCCAGAGACCGAUAGCGCACAAGUAGAGUGAUCGAAAGAUGAAAAGCACUUUGAAAAGAGGGUUAAAUAGUACGUGAAAUUGUUGAAAGGGAAGCGCUCAUGACCAGACUUGGGCCCGGUGAAUCAUCCAGCGUUCUCGCUGGUGCACUUUGCCGGGCACAGGCCAGCAUCAGUUUGCCCCGGGGGAUAAAGGCUUUGGGAAUGUGGCUCCUCCGGGAGUGUUAUAGCCCAUUGCAUAAUAUCCUGGGGCGGACUGAGGUUCGCGCAUCUGCAAGGAUGCUGGCGUAAUGGUCAUCAGCGACCCGUCUUGAAACACGGACCAAGGAGUCGUCUUCGUAUGCGAGUGUUCGGGUGUAAAACCCCUACGCGUAAUGAAAGUGAACGCAGGUGAGAGCUUCGGCGCAUCAUCGACCGAUCCUGAUGUUCUCGGAUGGAUUUGAGUAAGAGCAUACGGGGCCGGACCCGAAAGAAGGUGAACUAUGCCUGUAUAGGGUGAAGCCAGAGGAAACUCUGGUGGAGGCUCGCAGCGGUUCUGACGUGCAAAUCGAUCGUCAAAUAUGGGCAUGGGGGCGAAAGACUAAUCGA
rnacentral:rRNA from 1 species